UACGUAGGGUGCGAGCGUUGUCCGGAAUUACUGGGCGUAAAGAGCUCGUAGGUGGUUUGUCGCGUUGUUCGUGAAAACUCACGGCUUAACUGUGAGCGUGCGGGCGAUACGGGCAGACUGGAGUACUGCAGGGGAGACUGGAAUUCCUGGUGUAGCGGUGGAAUGCGCAGAUAUCAGGAGGAACACCAGUGGCGAAGGCGAGUCCCUGGACAGGUCCUGACGCUGAGGCACGAAAGCUAGGGGAGCAAACAGG
rnacentral:rRNA from 1 species